rnacentral:rRNA from 1 species
AUUGAACGCUGGCGGCAGGCCUAACACAUGCAAGUCGAAUGGUAACAGGAAACAGCUUGCUGUUUCGCUGACGAGUGGCGGACGGGUGAGUAAUGUCUGGGAAACUGCCUGAUGGAGGGGGAUAACUACUGGAAACGGUAGCUAAUACCGCAUAACGUCGCAAGACCAAAGAGGGGGACCUUCGGGCCUCUUGCCAUCAGAUGUGCCCAGAUGGGAUUAGCUAGUAGGUGGGGUAACGGCUCACCUAGGCGACGAUCCCUAGCUGGUCUGAGGGGAUGACCAGCCACACUGGAACUGAGACACGGUCCAGACUCCUACGGGAGGCAGCAGUGGGGAAUAUUGCACAAUGGGCGCAAGCCUGAUGCAGCCAUGCCGCGUGUAUGAAGAAGGCCUUCGGGUUGUAAAGUACUUUCAGCGGGGAGGAAGGGAGUAAAGUUAAUACCUUUGCUCAUUGACGUUACCCGCAGAAGAAGCACCGGCUAACUCCGUG